rnacentral:rRNA from 1 species
GAUGAACGCUGGCGGCGUGCUUAACACAUGCAAGUCGAACGAAGCACUUAAUGAGAUUUCUUCGGAUUGAUUAUUUUGUGACUGAGUGGCGGACGGGUGAGUAACGCGUGGGUAACCUGCCCCAGACCGGGGGAUAACAGUCGGAAACGACUGCUAAUACCGCAUAAGCGCACGGUAUCGCAUGAUACAGUGUGAAAAACUCCGGUGGUAUAAGAUGGACCCGCGUCUGAUUAGCUAGUUGGUGAGGUAACGGCCCACCAAGGCGACGAUCAGUAGCCGGCCUGAGAGGGUGAACGGCCACAUUGGGACUGAGACACGGCCCAAACUCCUACGGGAGGCAGCAGUGGGGAAUAUUGCACAAUGGGGGAAACCCUGAUGCAGCGACGCCGCGUGAGUGAUGAAGUAUUUCGGUAUGUAAAACUCUAUCAGCAGGGAAGAUAAUGACGGUACCUGACUAAGAAGCACCGGCUAAAUACGUG